rnacentral:tRNA from 2 species
CAGAGAAUAGUUAAGUUUUAAAAUUCUAGCUUUGGGAGCUAGGGGCAGGAGUUAAAAUCUCCUUUUUCUGA